ACAUAAAUAAGCUAAUAAAAGCCUUUAAACUCAUAAUUUAAAUAUAGAUAACCUUAAAUCUUUUAUGUA
rnacentral:tRNA from 1 species